GACGAACGCUGGCGGUGUGCUUAACACAUGCAAGUCGAACGGUAAGGCCCUUUCGGGGGUACACGAGUGGCGAACGGGUGAGUAACACGUGAGUAACCUGCCCUCAUCUCUGGGAUAACAGUCGGAAACGGUUGCUAAUACUGGAUAUGAGCUUGCAAGGCAUCUUGUGGGUUGGAAAGAUUUUUUUGGUUGGGGAUGGACUCGCGGCUUAUCAGCUUGUUGGUGAGGUAGUGGCUCACCAAGGCUUCGACGGGUAGCCGGCCUGAGAGGGCGACCGGCCACAUUGGGACUGAGAUACGGCCCAAACUCCUACGGGAGGCAGCAGUGGGGAAUAUUGCACAAUGGACGGAAGUCUGAUGCAGCAACGCCGCGUGCGGGAUGACGGCCUUCGGGUUGUAAACCGCUUUCAAUUGUGACGAAGCUUUUUGUGACGGUAGCAGUAGAAGAAGCACCGGCUAACUACGUG
rnacentral:rRNA from 1 species